rnacentral:sRNA from 1 species
GUUUUCAAGCAAUACUCUUAAUACAGAGCAAAGGUUAGCCCCAUUUUGGCUCAUAUGGAGGUUAUGGAAAGCACGCAAUAAUCUUGUGUUUAAUAAGUUCAAUGAAAGUUGCUCAAGGGUUGUGACACAAACUGAAGCAGAAGUCAAUGAAUGGUUACAAGAUGUGAACCGAAGAGAGGAAGCUUCCGAUUUAAAACGAUCAUCACAGAGGGCAAACGUGCGGUGGAAGAAACCGGUGUUUCCUUUAGUAAAGUGCAAUUUCGAUGCGGGUUUCACGGGUAAUAAUACUCAUAGUACAGGAGGGUGGAUCAUACGUGAUCAUGCGGGAUUAGCGAAGGCUUGGGGAUCAUCAAUAGUCCAAAACGUUACCACUGCUUUGGAAGCGGAGACAAAAGCGUUAUUAAUCGCAAUGCAACAAGCAUGGGUACGAGGGUAUAAGUGUGUUAAGUUCGAAGGUGAUUGUGAGAUCCUUAUCAAGGCAAUCAAUGGUGCAAAUUCUAGAUGUGAAAUAACCAGUCUUCUCCGAGAUGUGGAUUUUUGGGCAUCAAGAUUUUCUAAUGUGGUUUUCACAUUCACCAAUAGACUUUGUAAUAAUACUGCUCACCUCUUAGCUUCUCCACUUUAUUCGUGUUACAGGUUUCAAUCGAAUUCUGGUUAUCAGCCACUUUGGCUCAAGAACUCUCUUCGUAAAGAUUUACUCAUAUAAAUAAAUUCUGUUUGUUGGAAAAAAAAA